UACAGAGGUCUCAAGCGUUGUUCGGAUUCAUUGGGCGUAAAGGGUGCGUAGGCGGCGCGGUAAGUCGGGUGUGAAAUCUCGGAGCUUAACUCCGAAACUGCAUUCGAUACUGCCGUGCUUGAGGACUGGAGAGGAGACUGGAAUUUACGGUGUAGCGGUGAAAUGCGUAGAUAUCGUAAGGAACGCCGGUGGCGAAAGCGACGUGCUGGAUCUCUUCUGACGCUGAGGCGCGAAAGCCAGGGGAGCAAACGGG
rnacentral:rRNA from 1 species